GGGCUGAGGAGAAAAGACACUCGCGACGGGUGGACUCACUGCACCGUAGACCACUUCUGGCCUCUGCACUGACUCGAGACCCUUCGGGGUGGGGGGGGCGGUGAGUACCUCUACCAGAGGCGACACGUGGCAGAACACAGUGGUGGGAAAAGGUCUCAGGCCUGACCCCAGUGUGUUCCUCUGCAGGAAGGGCAGGCUCCCCUAGGCAAGGAUGGGCAGCGGGAAGGGUCUAGGGUCUUUGCACGAAGCCUGGAGGUCACUGCUGGGGCGGGCUCCUCCUGAGGGUGGGAUGGAAGGGUUUGGGGCGGGGGGGGGGGGAAGAGCUGUUUUCCUUCCAGGACAUGAGUAGGAAGCUGGAUCCCCGACCCCUCCCCCCGAGAAAGGUGUUAGACUUCUGCCUUGCUCACCUCCUGGGUCCCGGUGCUGGCAUUGCUCCUUCCGCACAGGGGAGCUCAGGUAAGAGACGCUGGAACAGGAACCCAAGGCCUGCAAACAGAAGGCUGCCGCGAGUGUCUUCUCCUCAGCCCCUGCGUAAGGCAUGGCCAUCUCAGUCUACUGUGGCGAUCAGCAGGCAAGCAGGCGCCCGCGCUGGGGAAGGAAAGGAGGUCUUGUUCUCUCCCACUGAGCUCCGGUCGGGACUGAAGAGUGGAGAGGAGAUGCAAGGCCCUUGGAGACAACCUAGCGGUCACCAGCCCUUUGUGUCUUGGCUGAGUGAAGCAGAUUUAUUCCGGGACUGCAGUCCUCGCGUUCUCUGUCCCAUACGGGCCGCGUCUCCCGCCAGAAUCCCCGUCUCAGACCCGAGGGGCAGUGCGCAGAGCAUGAAGAUGGCACUGGAGGUCUUUCUUAGGAGCUGGCACAGAUCAGAGGUCAGUCUGUCUACACGCUGCGAACGGCCCCCCGUGGCCUCUGUCACGUCUCUAAGGACCGUCACAGCCCGGCCCCGAGUGACACAACAGGAAUCCUCACCCAGAUGCCCCUCGCCGACGCUGAAAACCAGCACAGCCCUGCACUCAAGGCACCCGCAGGCAGGCAGGCGAGGAAGAGGCCGGUGCCCAAGGAGGAGACACUGAAGGAGGACAAGGCAGAGACAGAGCUAAGCGUGCGCUCCCUUCCCACCCGUUCCCAAAGCAAUCUCGGGAGCUCCCAGGGGGCUCCCAGGGCCUUCGCAUGCUGCUGCUGGUCGUUCAUGGUCCCUGCCCCCAGCGUCCGGUUGAUUUGUGGAGGUCAGAUGAGCCUGGGCCGCGAGUGGAAGAGAAGAAGGCUUUGGAGCCCCCCACCCUGUGUCUCUGAGUGCUGCAAGGGGGCGGGAGUGCAGGGCUGGGGUGGCAGUUGUGGGGCUGGGGUGCCGAUGGGGGCGACUGGGGUACCCCCGUGCCUUGUGCUCUCCUGGCUGCCAUGACUAGCAUGGCAUCAGCUUGCUGUGCUGGCUUCCUGCCCUGUGUCCCAUCAUUCCUCACGCCUCCUGCUCAAACACGCAUGUCCAUUGCACCCUCCGUCUAGCUCAGAGUGGCAGCUAGCUGGUGCAGGACUCCAGUCAGCCAGCACACAGCUCCUGAGCUCGGAGCCAUGCCAACUGCACGUCAUGACAAGAAGAAAAUACCUGCUAUCGUGGGGGCAGGGGGAGGGCUUGUGAGCUCAUCACAUGAGCUGUGCUGGUUUGGGUCCUCUCCUGCCAUGGGGGGGGGUGUGGUCAUCACAUGAACUGUGCUGGUUUGGGUCCUCUCCUGCCAUGGGGAGUGUGUGGUUAUCUCAUGAGCUAUGCUGGUUUGGGUCCUCUCCUGCCAUGGUGGGGGGUGGUGAGCUCAUCACAUGAGCUAUGCUGGUUUGGGUCCUCUCCUGCCAUGGGGGUGGUGAGCUCAUCACAUGAGCUGUGCUGGCUUGGGUGCUCUCCUGCCAUG
rnacentral:lncRNA from 1 species